AGUGUGUCCCCGCAGUGUGGCGCGCACCUUAUAAAAGCCAAACCUAUAAAUCAUUUCGUCUGUCGCGAGCCGAUGUUGUGUACCUAACCUACGCGUACAGGUGAGUGCUAGAUUUAAACUGCACUUGCGCAGACAAGGGCUGCCAUCAAUCAAUAGGAAUCGCGAUUCGGCCCGGAAGCUGCAAGCUCGCCCGGCCACUGAGUCUCGAGCAGCCGACCUUGCUGUACGGGUUAACCUCUGCUGACGAUCUACUCACCAAUUGCGAUGACUACUCCGAGGGAGGCUGGGACGCGGCUGGUCAUCGUCACCGACUCGCCGUACAAGGACAUGCAGAACAUGCAGCAACCGACGGAUGUGACGAUGUGGUGCAUCUGUGAGGUGUGCGGCCUCCGCAUUCACCCCAUACAUGGCUACCACACCACCUCCAGCGGUUCUGCCCCUGCCAACUAAAUGCGCUGCAUUUGGCUCAGAGCGAUUAUUAUAUUAAUUUCGUCUUAGUCUCUCUCUAACCCUUAGAUUGUCCUAAUAUAAAGAAUUAUUGUAUCAACCUACCUUAGAGAACCACUUUCUAUUAAACCCUUUUUAGUUUGA